rnacentral:rRNA from 1 species
AUACGGAGGGUGCAAGCGUUAUCCGGAAUCAUUGGGUUUAAAGGGUCCGCAGGCGGAUUAAUAAGUCAGUGGUGAAAUCCUCUCGCUCAACGAGAGAACUGCCAUUGAAACUGUUAGUCUUGAAUUUAGUCGAAGUAGGCGGAAUGUGUCAUGUAGCGGUGAAAUGCAUAGAUAUGACACAGAACGCCGAUAGCGAAGGCAGCUUACUAGACCUGGAUUGACGCUCAUGGACGAAAGCGUGGGGAGCGAACAGGAUUAGAAACCCUAGUAGUCC